rnacentral:lncRNA from 1 species
ACGCCAUCUUGCCACUAAACCUGAUUUACCAACAUAACCUGUUUCUGGCCAUGCUGUGAAUCUGCAUUCUUUACUGUGUCCUUGGGAUACUAGGAGGAACCAGAGGAGCAGAUCCUGCUAGGAGGCUAAGCAUGAAGAAGGAAUUCAAAGAAACCUUGUGGAGAACGAAGACACAGCAGGGAGUCUCUGAUCAAGUGCCACAUCUUUAGAGAAGCUUUUCCAAACAACCGUAACUUUUCAGACAUGAAUUGGAAUAAGAUAAGGCCAACUUGCUCAACUACAUUCCUUACUAAAACAUAAUAACUAAAAGCUACAGUGUGCAUUUCAUGUUUCACAUGUUCUGUUGCAGUGCCAAGACUAGGUUUAAGCAAUUCAGCUGCACAGUUACCAACCACUUCUUCUUGGAAGAUUUACCUACAAUCUAACUGAUAUACUUAACAAAAUUAUAUUUUUAAUAUUGAUUGUACAAUUUUUUACUCCUUAAUUGUAUCUGACAGCUUCUUAUACUUUAAACUUGAUCAACAGUAAAUUGUGAAGAGAGUAACUAUACACCACAUGGCUUGACAAUAUCCAAACAUCAUUCUUGUUCUACAAAAGUUACAAAUGGCUCCUAAGUGACAUCUCCAGGUGCAGGGGCAAACCAGAUGAAUAGGGCCUGAAGUGAACCCCCAGCAAACCACAGCAGCCCUACAACCCUGCAGAAGAGGGACCUGACCAUUGAAAGAAAACCAAACAAACAGAAAGCAACAACAGCAUCAACAAUAAAAAAAAAAGUUUCCACAAAAACCCCACCCAAGGGUCAGCAUCCUCAAAGAUCAAAAGUAGACAAACUCAUGAAAAUGAGAAAGAGUCAAAGAAAAACACUGAAAACCCAAAAGCCCAGAGUGCCUCUUCUCCAAAUGUUUGCAACACGCUCCAGCAAGGGUACAGAAAUGGACUGAGGAUGAGAUGGAGAAACUGAUGGAAGUAGGCUUCAGAAGAUGGGUAAUAACAAACUCCGCUGAGCUAAAGAAGCAUGUUCUAAUCCAAUGCAAAGAAGCUAAACACCUUGAUAAAAGGUUAGAGGAGCUGCUAACUAGAAUAACCAGUUUAGAGAGGAACAUAAAUGACCUGAUGGAGCUAAAAAACACAGCAUGAGAACUUUGUGAAGCAUACACAAGUAUCAAUAGCCGAACUGACCAAGUGGAAGAAAGGAUAUCAGAGUUUGAAGACCACAUUGCUGAAAUAAGGCAUGCAGACAAGAUUAGAGAGAAAAGAAUGAAAAGGAAUGAACAAAGAGUUCGAGAAAUGUGGGACUAUGUAAAAAGACCGAACCUAUGAUUGAUUGGAGUACCUGAAGGAGACGGGGCAAUGUAAACAAGCUGGAAAACACACUUUAGGGUAUUAUUCAGGAGAACUUCUCCAACCUAGCAAGAAAAGCCAACAUUCAAAUUCAGGAAAUACAGAAAACACCACUGAGAUACUCCACAAGAAGAUCAACCCCAAAACACGUAAUCGUCAGAUUCUCCAUGGACAAAAUGAAGGAAAAAAUGUUAAGGGCAGCCAGAGAGAAAGGCCAGGUCACCUACAAGGGGAAGCUCAUCAGACUAACAGUGGACUUCUCAGAAAUCCUAGAAGCCAGAAGAGAUUGGGGGCCUAUAUUCAACAUUCUUAAAGAAAAGAAUUUUCAACGCAGAAUUUUAUAUCCAGCCAAACUAAGCCUCAUAAGCAAAGGAGAAAUAAAAUCCUUUCCAGACAAGCAAAGGCUGAGAGAUUUUGUCACCACUAGGCCUGCCUUGCAAGAGCUCCUGAAAGAAGCACUAAAUAUGGAAAGGAAAAUCUGGUACCAGCCACUGCAAAAACACACCAAAAUAUAAAGACCAAGGACACUAUGAAGAAACUGCAUUAACUAGUGUGCAAAAUAACUAGAUAGCAUCAUGAUCACAGGACCAAAUUCACACAUAACAAUACUAAUCUUAAAUGUAAAUAGGCUAAAUGCCCCCAGUUGAAAGACACAGACUGGCAAAUUGGAUAAAGAGUCAAGACCCAUCCAUGUGCUGUAUUCAGGAGACACAUCUCACAUGCAGAUGCAUACAGGCUCAAAAUAAAGGGAUGGAGGAAAGUUUAAAAAAAAAAAAGCAGAGGUUGCAAUCCUAGUCUGACAAAAGAGACUUCACACCAACAAAGAUCAAAAAAGACAAAGAAGGACAUUACAUAAUGGUAAAGAGAUCAAUUCAUCAAGAAGAGCAAUUGGGUGCAUAUAUCUAUAUAUGCAUGCAAUACAGGAGCACCAAGAUUCAUAAAACAAGUUCUUAGAGACCUACAGAAGACUUAUCCUUCCACACAAUAAUAGUGGGAGACUUUAACACCCCACUGUCAAUAUUAGACAGAUCAACAAGACAGAAAAUUAACAAGAAUAUUCAGAACUUGAACUCAGCUCUGAAUCAAGUGGACCUAAUAGACAUCUACAGAACUCUCCACCCCAAAUCAACAGAAUAUACAUUCUUCUUAGUGCCACAUGGCACUUAUUCUAAAAUUGCCCACAUAAUUGGAAGUAAAACACUCCUCAGCAAAUCCAAAAGAACUGAAAUCAUAACAGUCUCUCAGACCACAGUGCAAACAAUUUAGAACUCAGGAUUAAGAAACUCACUCAAAAUCACACAAUUACAUGGAAAUGGAACAACCUGCUCCUGAAUGACUCCUGGGUAAAUAAUGAAAUUAAGGCAGAAGUUUCUUUGAAACCAAGGAGAACAAAGAGACAACAUACCAGAAUCUCUGGGACACAGUUAAACAGUGUUAAGAGAGAAAUUUAUGGCACUAACUGCCUGCAUCAGAAAUCUAGAAAGAUCUCAAAUUAACCCCCUAACAUCACAACUAAAGGAGCUAGAGAGGCAAGAACAAACUAAUCCAAAAGCUAGCAGAAAACAUGAAAUAACUAAGAUCAGAGCAGAAUUGAAGGAGAUACAGACACAAAAAGCCUUCCAAAAAAAAUCAGUGAAUCCAGGAGCUGGCUUUUUGGAAAAAUUAAGAAAACAGAUAGACUGCUAGCUAGACUAAUAAACAAGGAAAGAGAGAAGAGUCAAAUAGACACAAUAAAAAAUGAUAAAGGGGAUAUCAUCACUGACCCCACAGAAAUACAAAGUACCAUCAGAGAAUACUAUAAACACCUCUAUGCAAAGAAACUAGAGACUGUAGAAGAAAUGCAUAGAUUUUCUGGACACAUAGACCCUCCCAAGACUAAACCAGGAAGAAACUGAAUCCUUGAGUAGACCAAUAGCAAUUUCUGAAAUUCAGGCAGUAAUUGCUAGCCUACUAACCCAAAAAAGCUCAGGACCAUGAUUCACAGCUGAAUCCUAUCAAGGUACAAAGAGGAACCAGUACCAUUCCUUCUGAAACUAUUUAAAACAGUUGAAAGGAGGGACUCCUCCCUAACUCAUUUUAUGAAGCCAGCAUCAUCCUGAUACCAAAACCUGGCAGAGACAUAACAAAAAAAGAAAACUUCAGGCCAAUAUCCCUUAUGAACAUAAAUGCUAAAAUCCUCAAUAAACUACUGGCAAACUGAAUCCAGCAGUAUAUCAAAAAACAUAUCCACCAUGAUCAAGUCAGCUUCAUCCCUAGGAUGCAAGGCUGGUUCAACAUAUGCAAAUCAAUUAACGUCAUGCAUCACAUAAACAGAACCAAUGACAAAAACCACAUGAUUAUCUCAAUAGAUUCAGAAAAGGCCUUUGAUAAAAUUCAACAUCCUUUCAUGUUAAAUACGCUCAAUAAAGUAGGUAUUGAUAGAACAUAUCUCAAAAUAAUAAGAACUAUUUAUAACAAACCCACAGCCAGUAUCAUAUUGAAUUUGCAAAAGCUGGAAGAAUUCCCUUUGAAAACAGGUACAAUACAAGGAUGCCCACUCUCACCACUCCUAUUCAACAUAGUAUUGGAAGUUCUGGUCAGGGCAAUCAGGCAAGAGAAAGAAAUAAAGUGUAUUCAAAUGGGAAGAGAGGAAGUCAAAUUGUCUCUGUUUGCAGAUGACAAGAUUCUAUAUUUAUAAAACCCCAUCAUCUCAGCCCAAAAACUCCUUAUGCUGAUAAACAACUUCAGCAAAGUCUCAGGAUGCAAAGUCAAUGUAUAAAAAUCACAAGCAUUCCUAUAUACCAACAACAGACAAGCAGAGAGCCAAAUCAUGAAUGAACUCCCAUUCAUAAUUGCUACAAAGAGAAUAAAAUACCUAGGAAUACAGAUAGAAAGGGAUGUGAAGAACCUCUUCUAGAAGAACUACAAACCACUGCUCAAGGAAAUAAGAGAGGACACAAACAAAUGGAAAAACGUUCCAUACUCAUGAAUAGGAAGAAUCAAUAUUGAGAAAAUGGCCACAGUGCCCAAAGUAAUUUAUAGAUUCAAUGCUAUUCCCAUCAAACCAUCAUUGACGUUCUUCACAGAAUUAGAAAAAAAAAUAAUUUUAAUUUCAUAUGGAACCAAAAAGGAGCCUGUAUAGCCAACACAAUCAUAAGCAAAAAAAAAGCUGGAGGUAUCAUGCUACCUGACUUCAAACUAUACUACAAGGCUACAGUAACCAAAACUGCAUGGUACUUGUACAAAAACAGACAUAUAGACCAAUGGAACAAAACAGAGACCUCAGAAAUAACACCACACAACUACAACCAUCUGAUUUUUGACAAUCUGACAAAAACAAGCAAUGGGGAAAGAAUUUCCUAUUCAAUAAAUGGUGCUGGAAAAACUGGCUAGCCAUAGGCAGAAAACUGAAACCAGACCCCUUCCUUACACCUUAUACAAAAAAUAACACAAGAUGGAUUAAAGACUUAAAUGUAAAACCUCAAACCAUAAAAAUCCUAGAAGAAAACCUAGGCAAUACCAUUGAGAACAAAGGCAUGGGCAAAGACUUCAGGACAAAAAUGCCACAAGCAAGAGCAACAAAAGCCAAAAUUGAAAAUGGGAUCUAAUUAAACUGAAGAGCUUCUGCAUAGCAAAAGAAACUAUUAUAAGAGUGAACCGGUAUCCUACAGAAUGGGAGAAAAUUUUUGCAAUCUAUCCAUCUGACAAAGGUCUAAUAUCCAGAAUUUACAAGGAACUGAAACAAAUUUACAAGAAAAAAUAACCCCAUCAGAAAGUGGGUGAAGGAUAUGAACAGACACUUAUCAAAAGAAGACAUUUGUGCCACCAACAAACAUAUAAAAAAAAAUCUCGACAAAACUGAUUAUUAGAGAAACACAAAUCAAAACCACAAUGAGAUACCAUCUCAUGCCAGUCAGAAUGGCAAUUAUUGAAAAGUCAAGAAACAAUAGAUGCUGGCGAGGCUGUAGAGAAAUAGAAACGCUUUCACACUGUUGGUGGGAAUGUAAAUUAGUUCAACCAUUAUGGAAGACAGUGUGGCAAUUCCUCAAGGAUCUAGACCCAGAAAUACCUUUUAACCCAGCCAUCCUAUUACUGGGUAUAUACCCAAAGGAAUAUAAGUCAUUCUACUGUAAAGACACAUGCACACAUAUGUUUAUUGCAGCACUAUUUACAAUAGCAAAGACAUGGAACCAACCCAAAUGCCCAUCAAUGAUAGACUGGAUAAAGAAAAUGUGGUACAUAUACACCAUGAAAUAUUAUGCAGCCAUAAAAACAAAUGAGAUCAUUUCCUUUGCAGGGACAUGGAUGAAGCUGAAAGCCAUCAUCCUCAGCAAACUAACACAGGAACAGAAAACCAAACAUCACAUGUUCUUGCUCAUAAGGGAGAGUUGAACAACGAGAACACAUGGACACUGGCAGGGGAACAUCACAUACCAGGGCCUGUCAGGGGAUGGGGGGUGAGGGGAGGGAACAUAGAAGACUAGUAAAUACAUGCAGCAAACCACCAUGGCACACAUAUACCUAUGUGACCAGCCUGCACAUUCCACACGUGUUUCUGAGAACUUAAAGUAAAAUUUAAAAAAAGAAAAGAGGUUUAAUUGCCUCACAGUUUUGCAUGUCUUGGGAGGCCUCAGGAAACUUACGAUCAUGAGAGAAGCCAACCUGAUUCAGACUCUGGAAAUGUCUCUUGGUGGUCAGAAGAGAAUGUAGCCUAGUGAAAUGGAUUAGUGAAAUACACUGGGGUGGUUUUGAUAGACAGGAACCAAAGAUAUGAAGGACCUCAUAGACACAGGUUAAGAAGCUCUAAAAAUAUGAGUAAACCAGAUGGCUUUUAAAUUAAGGAGUUUCUUGGUCAGGUCACUGUGAAAAUCUCUCUGACAGUUCUGUGAAACAAUGAAUUGGAAACAAGAACCAAUCCAAGUAGGGGAAAAUAAGAACUUUAAGUAGGGCAGAAGAUAACAGAACUUGAACUCAAGCAGAUGGGAGUGGGAUAUACGUGUGAAUGUGAUUUCAGCAGUACAAUCAACAAAGCUUGGAAGAGUAAGGGGAAAGAAGUUGUGAGGAAAUAUAACCAGAAGACAAAAGGAGGAUGAUCUGAUGAUAAUAAACUGGGGUUGUAAUUUAGCAAGGCGUUUUGGUUGAGAUUAUUCUUAGCAUCUCUGUGUCAUUGGCUCUCCUCCUCUGAGAAUAGGCAGGACUCCUCUUGAAUGUGGAUUUUAUGACUUGCUUCAGGAGAGAAGGGCAAGGUGAAGGACAAAGUGACAUUCCCAGUUCUGCUGUUUUUUCAAAUGCCAGGUGCCAUAUUUUGGGGUUGCCUGUCCUGAAUACAAUCAGAAGUGUGAUAUGUUUGAGUGAGUGUGAGUACUGGGAUAAGAGAGUCUAAGACAGACUGGAUGAUCUAAGAUCAUGGUGGUAAGGGAAAACAAGAAGUAGAUUUGGGGAAAUACAAAAUAUUUGAAUAUACUGAUUUUGAAAUUGGCAGAAAAAAAUAUAUUACCAGUAUCCAGCAUAAUUGACACAAAGUGGGUACUACAUGUCCAGAUCAAACAAACAGAAUUUCU